rnacentral:rRNA from 1 species
AUUGAACGCUGGCGGCAUGCCUUACACAUGCAAGUCGAACGGUAACAGGUUAAGCUGACGAGUGGCGAACGGGUGAGUAAUGUAUCGGAACGUGCCCAGUUGUGGGGGAUAACUGCUCGAAAGAGCAGCUAAUACCGCAUACGACCCGAGGGUGAAAGCGGGGGAUCGCAAGACCUCGCGCAAUUGGAGCGGCCGAUAUCAGAUUAGGUAGUUGGUGGGGUAAAGGCUCACCAAGCCGACGAUCUGUAGCUGGUCUGAGAGGACGACCAGCCACACUGGGACUGAGACACGGCCCAGACUCCUACGGGAGGCAGCAGUGGGGAAUUUUGGACAAUGGGCGCAAGCCUGAUCCAGCCAUGCCGCGUGCGGGAAGAAGGCCUUCGGGUUGUAAACCGCUUUUGUCAGGGAAGAAACGCUCUGGGUUAAUACCCUGGGGUAAUGACGGUACCUGAAGAAUAAGCACCGGCUAACUACGUGCCAGCAGCCGCCGCAG